rnacentral:sRNA from 1 species
UACUACGCGGAGCUCGCGAUCCUCCUG